AGGGAGGAGAGUUGGAGCCUUUCAUAUGCAUCACUGGGCUGGUCGUCACCUAUUGGCCGCUACCGCUAGCACCUUCAGGCGCCAUUACUACGCAAUUCCUUGUGCCAUCCUCCUGACCAACCGACUUGAUGCACAGCAGUGACGCCUGUGUGGCACACGGUCAAUCAUGUGACGUCCAAUGCAGUGAUGGUGAGAACGGGAGCAAAUAUAGAGGUCCACCUUCUCAUCUGACACAAGGAGGAAACGAUCAAUAAGCCACUGAUCCCAGGCAGGUUCUCCACAGCACACACCAGAGGUCCGG